rnacentral:rRNA from 1 species
ACCUGACGCAGCAACGCCGCGUGAGUGAUGAAGGCCUUCGGGUCGUAAAGCUCUGCCAGAGGGGAAGAACCACCUGAGGGUUAAUAUCCUUCAGGCCUGACGGUACCCUCAAAGGAAGCACCGGCUAACUCCGUGCCAGCAGCCGCGGUAAUACGGAGGGUGCAAGCGUUGUUCGGAAUUAUUGGGCGUAAAGCGCGUGUAGGCGGUCUGUUAAGUCUGAUGUGAAAGCCCCGGGCUCAACCCGGGAAGUGCAUUGGAAACUGGCAGACUUGAGUACGGGAGAGGGUAGUGGAAUUCCGAGUGUAGGGGUGAAAUCCGUAGAUAUUCGGAGGAACACCGGUGGCGAAGGCGGCUACCUGGACCGAUACUGACGCUGAGACGCGAAAGCGUGGGGAGCAAACAGGAUUAGAUACCCUGGUAGUCCACGCCGUAAACGAUGGGUACUAGGUGUUGCGGGUAUUGAUCCCUGCAGUGCCGAAGCUAACGCAUUAAGUACCCCGCCUGGGGAGUACGGCCGCAAGGCUA